GUAAGAAUGCCAGAAGAUGAAUGGGAUUGAUUUAGGAUCAUUUUAUGACUUUAUGUUUUCUUACU
rnacentral:tRNA from 1 species